rnacentral:rRNA from 1 species
AUUGAACGCUGGCGGCAGGCCUAACACAUGCAAGUCGAGCGGAUGACGGGAGCUUGCUCCUUGAUUCAGCGGCGGACGGGUGAGUAAUGCCUAGGAAUCUGCCUGGUAGUGGGGGACAACGUUUCGAAAGGAACGCUAAUACCGCAUACGUCCUACGGGAGAAAGCAGGGGACCUUCGGGCCUUGCGCUAUCAGAUGAGCCUAGGUCGGAUUAGCUUGUUGGUGAGGUAAUGGCUCACCAAGGCGACGAUCCGUAACUGGUCUGAGAGGAUGAUCAGUCACACUGGAACUGAGACACGGUCCAGACUCCUACGGGAGGCAGCAGUGGGGAAUAUUGGACAAUGGGCGAAAGCCUGGUCCAGCCAUGCCGCGUGUGUGAAGAAGGUCUUCGGAUUGUAAAGCACUUUAAGUUGGGAGGAAGGGUUGUAGAUUAAUACUCUGCAAUUUUGACGUUACCGACAGAAUAAGCACCGGCUAACUCUGUG